rnacentral:lncRNA from 1 species
UGUAAAAUGAGCAAACGUUGGGUCUCGAUUCGAAAUAUAAUUAUGAAUAAAUUUUAAAAUUCGAUAAAUUACUCGAAUCUUCUUACAUUUAAAAUUUAAAUUUUUAUUGAUACACGUAUCAUAUUCGUUUGAAAGUUUAAAUUGCUCGGAGAACGAGAUUGUGAUCGGUACAGUAACUAAACGAGUCUCGGUAAAAUCUUAUUGUAUAUUUGAUAAAUUUUAUGAAUUAAAUCUGAGCAUCUCAAAUGAGUUGUUUCACUUUCAACUCAAAUUAAAAGUUCCUUUUUAUUUUGAGGAACAUCUUUAUUAAACCCGAAAUGGUACUUAUAUAUUAAUAAAUAAAAGUUUC